rnacentral:rRNA from 1 species
AGAGUUUGAUCCUGGCUCAGAGUGAACGCUGGCGGCGUGCUUAACACAUGCAAGUCGAACGGACUUAAGGGGCUUGCUUCUUAAGUUAGUGGCGCACGGGUGAGUAAUAUAUAGCUAACCUGCCCUUUAGUGGGGGACAACAGUUGGAAACGGCUGCUAAUACCCUAUACUCCUUCUUGCCUUAAGGUGAGUCGGGAAAGAUUUAUCGCUAAAGGAUGGGGCUUUAUUGUAUCAGCUAGUUGGUGAGGUAAUGGCUCACCAAGGCUAUGACGCAUACCUGGUCUGAGAGGAUGAUCAGGCACACUGGAACUGAGACACGGUCCAGACUCCUACGGGAGGCAGCAGUGGGGAAUAUUGCACAAUGGACGCAAGUCUGAUGCAGCAACGCCGCGUGGAGGAUGACGCAUUUCGGUGUGUAAACUCCUUUUAUAGGGGAAGAUAAUGACGGUACCCUAUGAAUAAGCACCGGCUAACUCCGUGCCAGCAGCCGCGGUAAU